GACGUAGGGCGCGAGCGUUGUCCGGAUUUAUUGGGCGUAAAGAGCUCGUAGGCGGCUUGUCACGUCGGGUGUGAAAGCCCGGGGCUUAACCCCGGGUCUGCAUUCGAUACGGGCUGGCUGGAGUUCGGUAGGGGAGAUCGGAAUUCCUGGUGUAGCGGUGAAAUGCGCAGAUAUCAGGAGGAACACCAAUGGCGAAGGCAGCACUCUGGGACGUGACUGACGCUGAGACGCGAAAGCGUGGGGAGCAAACAGG
rnacentral:rRNA from 1 species